UAGGGUCUGCGUCUGGAGCUCCGACAGGGUCGUCGUCAGCUUUGAGAGGGCGUGUUACUCGAUAGUAACUCCCAAAUGAAGAAGAGAUAAAAAGGAAGAAGCUGAAGGAUGAUGGGAGUAGGAAGGAAGAGAAGAAAAGAAGAAGGCAAAAAAACCAACCAACCGAACACCACUAUCACCACCAAAAAAAAAGAGGUGGAAAAUGAACAGGGAUGAAAGUUUCAAGCAGGUGGCUUUGGGGCCAUGAGCCCAGCCCCUGGCCAGCACACACCCCAGAGCUUUGUGGGAAUUACAAACAGGUGGACCUUCCUCGAGCUGGUGCAGACCUACCCAGGGCCGCCACGUGACUACCUGAGCACAGACCGGCUUCCAGUCCCCGGUGCACCCUUGUCUAGGCACCUCUGUGCCCACGGAAUGACACAAACGGACUAAACAACACAAUGAGAGGGCUUGGAAUGUUCUACCUGGUGGCGUGGCUGUUUCUGUGCACCCCACGGAUCUCAUCUCUCUGUAGCCAAGGCCGUGCAUUCGCUCCCCCGUGGCACCUAGCACAUAGAAUUAACUCGCCAUUUCUAAAAUGAAACUGACUUGCAGUACACGGAAACCAGACGGAAGGGGGGGCCCACAGGAACCCGUGCGUGGGCAGAGCAUCAGCAUCUCAGAGCACGAGAUCUGCAGAGUGUGGUAUCACCAGCGGGUCACUGCAAGCAAAGCGCACGGUCUGGAGGAGGAGUCCCUGCUGAGCUUGACCAGUGUUAGGGGGCUGGGCACAGAUCCAAGGAGAACGCCGGGCCCCAGGAGACAGUCUCCUCUGGAGUCCCAUGUCCUCCAGCUCAAACAAGAUGAACCUCUCGCCAAUUUUUAAGAUUUCCAGCAAAGGAGAUGAAGAGAUGGGGACCCAGACAAGGGGGAAGACCCUGUGGAGAUACGAAGAGAAGGUGGCCGAGGAAAGAGGCCUCAGAAGGAACCAGCCCCGUCUGCACCUUGAUCUCAGACUUCAGUCUCUACAAUGUACUUGAAAACAAAAUCAGCAGCCUCACACAAAUAAGAGUUGGACCAACAUUGGAAGUUCUGCCAUCGGGUGGACCCACAGAGCCCCAGAGAGUACAGUGGCUUCUGUCUACACGCAGGCAGCGAAUCCCCAGAAGAGACACCCGGCUGAAUGCCUGUGGAAAGCUUCUAAGCACCAGAUUCCUGAAGAGAUGCCUCUUUCAGGUGUCUUCUGAUAAAAGACUUUUCAGUGGGAGGCCCAGGCUUGCCUCUGUGCAAGAACCAGAAUUCUGAGGACGUUAGCUGCAUUAUUCCGCUCAGGCUGCCAUAACGAAGUACCUCACACUGGGUGUCUUAACCAACAGAAGUUUAUUUUCCCACAAUUCCGAAGGCUGGAAGUCCAAGGUCAAAGUGUUGGCAGGUUUUGUGUCUUCUGAGGACUCUUUUUUGGGGGGCACCUGGGUGGCUCAGUCAGUUAUGCAUCCAACUCUUGGUUUUGG